GACUCUUACACCCAGGUUAGCAAGUCGGAAAUGUCAGUUUCAAACAUUACGUGAACACGGCACUACUGCGCAAUGAUUCCGUGGUAGCAAACCAUUCACGUAAACGCAUGAGAUCAGGCGACUUGCGAGUAUGAACCGUGGAGAGUGCAGGGCUGAUAAACCUGGGCAAAAGAGUUAUGCCUGUGAGCUCACACUGGACACACGCACAGUACACAAACUGCUCUCACUGCCUGAGAAGAGAAAGGUGACACGGGAGAAAGGGGAGCAGCAGUAUCCUGAUCACCCAGAUAUAUUUCAGAUAGAGCCACAGGUGCUGUGUAAAGAGGAGCUGUCUGGGCGCUGUUACUGGGAGGUAGAGUGGAGGGAUGGGGCUGGGAUAGGAGUGACAUAUAAAGGAAUCAGCAGGAGGCAGGGAGGUCACGAUUCAAGUCUUGGAUGCAAUGACAAGUCAUGGAAUCUAUUCUACUCGCAUACAUUUUUUUUAUACCCAUCACAAUAAUAAGACCACUAGGAUACCUACCUCCUUCUCCCACUCCAACAGAGUAGGAGUGUAUCUGGACAGGGUGGCCGGCACCCUUUCCUUCUACAGUGUCUCAUCCAAAACACUCACCCACCUGUACACAUUUUAUGUCACAUUCACUGAACCCCUCUACCCAGGGUUUUGGUUUCGGCUCGACUCGUCAGUGUCCCUGUGACGGGUAGAACAGCUUCCUCUGUCCUGGAGCAACACCUGAGUCUUUAGGGAAGUCAAACUCCUGUUCAAACGCAACCAUGUGUCAUUGUCACCUGUGCUCCCUCUCCGGCCUCUAGGUCACCAGGCUGCUCGUUAUGCUGCACACCUGUCAGCAUCGUUACGCGCAUCUGCACUUAAUGACACUCACCUGGACUCCAUCACCUCCUUGAUUAUCUGCCCUAUAUACUCCCUUUGGUUCCUUCCCCAGGCGUCAUUGUUUCUGUUUCAUGUCUGUGCGUUGUUCGUGGUUCUUUUUAGGUUUCAUUUAUUCACUCCCUGAACUUGCUUCCCGACUCCCAGCGCACACGUUACAGUCAUGAUGGAAUAGGUUUCACUUUGAACUCAACCACACACACGUACACACACUCAAGUCAAGAGUUGAAAACUGUCAGUGAAGUCAAACUCCUGUUCAAACACAACCAUGUGUCAUGAUGGAAUAGGUUUCACGUUGAACUUGACCACACACACAUAAACACACUCAAGUCAUGAGUUAACAUCUGUUUAUGUACUGUACAUAAUCAUUAAUAUACUCCAAUGUAGUUGACCACUGUAGUUGACCAUAUACUCCACUGUAGUUGACCACUGUAGUUGACCACUGUAGUUGACCACUGUAGAUGAAUGUAUUCCAUCGUAGUUGACCACACUGCACUGUAAAAACAUUUAAUUUGGAGGGAUCUCAAGCAGGGAUCUCAUCAUUUCUUAUCCUUGGUUUUUAUAAAUGUUUAUGCUAAUGUUUAAUUAUGUCAUUGUUGUAACUGUAAUUCUCUUUCUCUAUGAACUCAAUACACUGAAUGGAAUAUCCUGUACAUGUCAGA